UCUCAUGCUAUCCAUCCAACAUAUUACUAUCAGCAAUCUUGCGGCCAAAAUGAAGAAAGAUCAGCAACGGGGGCUGAACAGGACACAUCCUUGCAAUGUAAACAAUCCCCUCAAUGUGGAAUGGCUGCCAAAUUAGCAGGAGAUACAGCUGCUACUGGUGCUUUCUCAAAUCCUUUCUUUAUGGCGCGUGUAGGCAUGCCCAAGAUCGGAAACAAUGACCGUGCUGCACGUUUGCAGGUAAGUGCUCAAUAUGAUGCUGGAGCUGUUGCUGCUG
rnacentral:misc_RNA from 1 species